rnacentral:rRNA from 1 species
GGAAGUGGGGAUGACGUCAAGUCCUCAUGGCCUUAUGCCCAGGGCCGCAAACGUGCUACAAUGACCGGUACAAACCGACGCAAAGCCGCGAGGUCGAGCAAAUCGGAAAAAGCCGGCCCCAGUUCGGAUUGGAGUCUGCAACUCGACUCCAUGAAGUUGGAAUCGCUAGUAAUCGCAGAUCAGCUAUGCUGCGGUGAAUGUGUUCCUGAGCCUU